GGUAAUUCUAGAGCUAAUACAUGCUAAAAACCCCGACUUCGGAAGGGGUGUAUUUAUUAGAUAAAAAACCAAUGCCCUUCGGGGCUCCUUGGUGAUUCAUGAUAACUUCUCAGAUCGCAUGGCCUUGCGCCGGCGACGGUUCAUUCAAAUUUCUGCCCUAUCAACUUUCGAUGGUAAGGUAUUGGCUUACCAUGGUUUCAACGGGUAACGGGGAAUUAGGGUUCGAUUCCGGAGAGGGAGCCUGAGAAACGGCUACCACAUCCAAGGAAGGCAGCAGGCGCGCAAAUUACCCAAUCCCAACACGGGGAGGUAGUGACAAUAAAUACUGAUACAGGGCUCUUUUGGGUCUUGUAAUUGGAAUGAGUACAAUUUAAACCUCUUAACGAGGAACAAUUGGAGGGCAAGUCUGGUGCCAGCAGCCGCGGUAAUUCCAGCUCCAAUAGCGUAUAUUAAAGUUGUUGCAGUUAAAAAGCUCGUAGUUGAACCUUUGGCCUGGCUGGCAGGUCCGCCUCACCGCGUGCACUUGUCCGGCCGGGCCUUCUCUUCUGGAGAACCGCAUGCCCUUCACUGGGUGUGUUGGGGACCAGGACUUUUACUUUGAAAAAAUUAGAGUGUUCAAAGCAGGCCUUUGCUCGAAUACGUUAGCAUGGAAUAAUAGAAUAGGACGUGCGGUCCUAUUUUGUUGGUUUCUAGGACCGCCGUAAUGAUUAAUAGGGACAGUCGGGGGCAUCAGUAUUCAAUUGUCAGAGGUGAAAUUCUUGGAUUUAUUGAAGACUAACUACUGCGAAAGCAUUUGCCAAGGAUGUUUUCAUUAAUCAGUGAACGAAAGUUAGGGGAUCGAAGACGAUCAGAUACCGUCGUAGUCUUAACCAUAAACUAUGCCGACUAGGGAUCGGGCGGUGUUACUAUUUUGACC
rnacentral:rRNA from 1 species